rnacentral:rRNA from 1 species
GACGAACGCUGGCGGCGUGCCUAAUACAUGCAAGUCGAGCGGAUGGAAGGAAGCUUGCUUCCUAAAGUCAGCGGCGGACGGGUGAGUAACACGUGGGCAACCUGCCCCUAAGAUCGGGAUAACUUCGGGAAACCGGAGCUAAUACCGGAUAUGAUUAUGUCUCACAUGAGACAUAAUGGAAAGACGGUUUCGGCUGUCACUUAGGGAUGGGCCCGCGGCGCAUUAGCUAGUUGGUGAGGUAACGGCUUAACAAGGAGACGAUGCGUAGCCGUCCUGGGAGGGUGAUCAGCCACACUGGGACUGAGACACGGCCCAGACUCCUACGGGAGGCAGCAGUAGGGAAUCUUCCGCAAUGGACGAAAGUCUGACGGAGCAACGCCGCGUGAGUGAAGAAGGUUUUCGGAUCGUAAAACUCUGUUGUUAGGGAAGAACAAGUACCAUAGUAACUGAUGGUACCUUGACGGUACCUAACCAGAAAGCCACGGCUAACUACGUGCCAGCCGCCGCCGUAACAC